UACGUAGGAGACGAGCGUUGUCCGGAGUUACUGGGCGUAAAGGGUGCGCAGGUGGCGGCGCGCGUGGGGGGGUGAAAUCGCCCGGCUUAACUGGGCGGGGGCCUUCCAGACGGCGUGGCUUGAGUAGCGGAGGGGGACGUGGAAUUCCGGGUGGAGCGGUGAAAUGCGCAGAUAUCAGGAGGAACACCGGUGGCGAAGGCGGGUCUCUGGGCCGAUACUGACGCUGGAGGAGCGAAAGCGUGGGGAGCGAACAGG
rnacentral:rRNA from 1 species